CAGAUAUUAGUUUUUAAAAAAAUUUUAAUUUUGGAGAUUAAAGAUGAUAAGUUUAUUAUAUCUGA
rnacentral:tRNA from 2 species